rnacentral:rRNA from 1 species
UACGAGGGGGGCAAGCGUUGUUCGGAAUUAUUGGGCGUAAAGGGCGCGUAGGCGGUGCGGUAAGUCACCUGUGAAAACUCUGGGCUCAACUCAGAGCCUGCAGGCGAAACUGCCGUGCUUGAGUGUGGGAGAGGUGCGUGGAAUUCCCGGUGUAGCGGUGAAAUGCGCAGAUAUCAGGAGGAACACCGGUGGCGAAGGCGGGUCUCUGGGCCGAUACUGACGCUGAAGAACGAAAGCCAGGGGAGCAAACGGG